rnacentral:lncRNA from 1 species
UCUAAAACACCAAAAGCAAUGGCAACCAAAGCCAAAAUUGACAAAUGGGAUCUAAUUAAACUAAAGAGCUUCUGCUGUCUUGCUCUGUCACUCAGGCUGGAGUGCAGUGGCAUGAUCAUGGCUCACUGCACCCUGGACAUCUCUGGCUCAAUCAAUCCUUCCACUUCAGCUUCCUGAGUAGCUGGGGCUACAGAUGCACCCCACCAUGCCUGGCUAACUUUUAUAUUUUUUGUAGCAGUCUCACUGUGUUGUCCAGGCUGGUUGUGAACUCCUGGGUUCAAGCAAUUUUCCUGCCUCAGCCUCCCAAAGUGUUGGGAGAGAUUACAGGUGCCUGGUCUCAGUAAAUUUCUCUUGUUAGGAAGGCUACCAAUCGAGGACUGGUUCGGGUGAGUUUACAGAGGCUGCACAACUUGAGUGUCUUUAUGUCCUGACAAGACCUUUUGAUGCAUAGGUCCUAAUUGUAAUACAUUUAAAUGUUAAGUCUCCACCCCAAGGUAAACAUGGGUCAUCUGUAACAUGCAUAUUUGUUCAGUAGGCAUGCAUCAGGACUAUCUUCAUGAAUAUUCAUAGCUCAUCCUACAACCGAUUGAAUAUGUGUGUUCGGCCACUCAAUAAACUUAAAUUCCUGUCUUACCUCUCACUCCCUCUGAAUGUUUGUCUCUGGUCUUUGCUGGAGGCUGUGCUUCCCAGCCUGCAGGAUGGCCACUUUGCAGGCUGUCACUCUUUACAAAAAAUAAAGCCUCCUUUCUAAAUUUAUAUAUCUUGUGAUUUUUUUA